GUGGGGAAUUGUUCGCAAUGGGCGCAAGCCUGACGACGCAACGCCGCGUGGAGGAUGAAGAUCUUCGGGUCGUAAACUCCUGUCGAGCGGGACGAAUGCUCUGCGGUUGAAUACACCGCAGGGGUGACGGCACCGCCAAAGGAAGCCCCGGCUAACUCCGUGCCAGCAGCCGCGGUAAUACGGGGGGGGCAAGCGUUGUUCGGAUUUACUGGGCGUAAAGGGCUCGUAGGUGGCCAAUUAAGUCAGGCGUGAAAUCCCCAGGCUCAACUUGGGAACUGCGUCUGAUACUGGUUGGCUUGAAUUCGGGAGAGGGAUGCAGAAUUCCAGGUGUAGCGGUGAAAUGCGUAGAUAUCUGGAGGAAUACCGGUGGCGAAGGCGGCAUCCUGGACCGAGAUUGACACUGAUGAGCGAAAGCCAGGGGAGCAAA
rnacentral:rRNA from 1 species